UUCAAGUUAUACAUAGGACUAAAAGAGCACAUGGCUUACCUAGGAGGUAAAGAUGAGAACAGCUUCUGCUUGCUGGGCACCGCCUUGAAAAGAAAUACUUUUGAUCGGCUUGGUGAGUAUUGACCUUCGGAUUACAUCAUUCGUGACUUUUUUUUUUUUUAAAUGUUAAACCUCUAUUGGAAAAAUACAUAUGUUGCUUUUAAAAUGGAAGCUUUCGACAGCAUUUAGAACCAUCCAUAUGUUAUCGGUUUAGGCCAAAUGAACCAGCCAAUUUGAGAUCUGAGUGUUGGAAAGCUUAGGUGUAUAGUCACUCGAAAUGUCUGUCGCAUCACAGCUUGUAGAAGUUAUUUCCAAACGUCCCUUCACUUACAUGAUGCUUCUCCGAGAAGAGGUCCUGUUCUCCUAACUGGGGCCAGCCAUCCUUUCCUGAUGCUCCUGUGUGUUAUGCCUGCCUCAGAAGCAUCAUGUUCCCUCUGUACUGACUGCAUCUUUUUUUAAAAAAAAAAGUUAAAAAAAGAUUUAUAUUGGAGUAUAGUCGGCCUGCCGUGUUGUGUUAGUUUCAGGUGGACAGCAAAGUGAUUCGGUUAUACACACACAAAUAUCCAUGCUUUUUCAGAUUCGUUUCCCAUAUAGGUUAUGACUGGAUAUUGAGUCAUGUUUGCUGUGCUAUGCAGUAGGUCCCCGCUGAUUAUCUCUUGUAUAUAUGGUCGUGUGCGUAUGUGAAUCCCAAACACCGAAUUUAUCCCUCCCCAACCCCCAACUGCAUCCUUUUUGGCGUCCUUCGGUUCCCAAGUACCUGGGCCCCCUCCUGGAGGGCACAGGACCUGCGGGUUCAGGGCCACGUGGAGGACCCCACCCGGCAGCUCUGAUGUCCUGUCUUGGAGAGUUGCACUGAGCGGGUCACUUCCAACCUGCCAUCAGGGUAGAGAAGGCUUGCUGGGAUGGGUGAUGGACUGGUUUCUCUGGGAAGAAACGCCAAAAAUGAUAUGGAUGGUACAGAGCUCUACUUGGGCUCUGUGCUUGAAGUCCAAGAAGAACAGGAGAAGUUUUCUCAUGCUCUUUCUGGAGUCCUCGUCAUUUCCUGGGAACCUCCAUAUGCCAAGGGAGCGGCCCUAGAAAAGGCAAACAAAGACAAAAAAAAAAGUUGUCUAUGACAGCUUUAUUCUCACCGAGAAUAAAGGCACGCAGCCUUCCCAUCGGAGUGCCCUCUUGAGAGGCUGCAUGCAUGUCUGCGCGAUUGUUUUCAUAAACUCAGAAUUUAGCUGCCAGCACUCAGGGCUCCCAUCGUGUGUAACCCGGUCUCUGCCCAGGAUCCGCCACGUUGUUCUCUCUCCCACUUGUCAAUAAAAGCCAAAGAUUUCUCUCACAGAAGCUCCGCAAUAAUUCCUGGGUCUGCAAGUCAUGUGCCCAAGGAAACUUUUUAAGUGGGGAAAAGGGUAGAAAUCCAGUUCAAACUCUUACAAGUUUUGGCGGAGGAGUCUAUGGACGAACAAAAGCUCCCUGGCAUCUUCUGGCAGACAUGUGAGAGAAGGCAGUGAUUGGAAUUAAUUUUUAGUGAGGGCUGCAUAUUUGAUAAUUGGUCUGAUUCACGCUAUUAUAUUCCUCUUCCUUCACCCACAGCAAAACAAGCUUAAUUUGAUUCAUCCCCUUAGGAAGAAAAAAAAAAAAAA
rnacentral:lncRNA from 1 species